rnacentral:misc_RNA from 1 species
GAUGAAGAACUCAGCGAAAUGCGAUAAGUAGUGUGAAUUGCAGAAUUCAGUGAAUCAUCGAAUCUUUGAACGCAAAUUGCGCCUCCUGGUAUUCCUGGAGGCAUGCCUGUUCGAGCGUCAUUAAAAUCACUCAAGCUUAGGUUUACCUAUUGCUUGGUCUUGGAGAUGGAAGCCAAUUUAUUGGAAUCCUCUUCGAAAUUCAAUGGCGAAGACCCUUGCUCUCCCAAGUGUAGUAAUAACUUAUGUCACUGAAGGAAGCGAGAAAUCUUCUGCCGUAACCCCCAUAUUUUCUAUGAUUGACCUCGGAUCAGGUAGGGAUACCCGCUGAACUUAAGCAUAUCAAUAAGCGGAGGA